UCUCUAACCACAGCAGGUGAAAGGAAAAGCAAAGUUCUGCAAAAUUCCAGGAAGAUGAAGCACGUGCGUGGUGUGGUGCCAGAGGACUACUCGUGUCCACAGCCACACUGCUCUUGACAGCGUCUCCUGCUGCACUGCUGGGCCUGCAACAGAAUCCUGGGAAAUCAGAUUGCUAGCGACAGAAAGGAACUCCACGUCUAUUUAGUCCAACUUCCUCCAAUGAGGAAAUGAAGUUGUAGGAGGAUUCACAGGAAGCGAUCAUUAUGUCAGAAUCUGUGAAGAUCAGGUUCUAAUUAUCAAGGGGUGAAAACCAACAUGCAAAUAUUUGCUAUUGAUAAGAUACUUAGAAAUCAGAAUGGCUUCUCACGCCCAUAGUAAGCUCUCCUCACAGGACUUGCAAAUUUGAGUUUACUGCUCCCACACUAAUUAGGCAAAGAAAGCAGGCCUGGAGUGUACAUGUCGUAUAUGCCCUAGAAAAUGGCCAUUGUACUUUGCUGCACGGAGACACUGCUACUGAGGGUGUCCCAGCAUAGCCAGGAAAUGGCAGAGGUGAAGGUCGUGGUCUCUGGUAUGGUAAUGGGUGGGGUCACAGACAAUGGCAGACUUUAAAGUGUGUGUACCACUAAGAGACCAUCCAGAGGAUUAUGAAGAAAGCUGGUAUUGGAGUCAGAAACAAACAUUAGACUCCGUGAAGUCUAAGUUGUCCAUGAAGGACCAACACUAAGAGUUCAUCAUGGUCUUGUGAACCCCCAGCACCGUGCCUGUCUCAGAAGAGGAGUUCAAAACUGUGAAUGAACAAAUUAACUGCCUGGGUUCAGAUCCUCGCUCUGCCACUUACCAACAGUAUGAUCUUAGGGAAGUUCUGGAACUUCUCUGUGCCUCCACCUCCUUGCCUGUAAAUGGAGAUCAUGAUAAUACCUGUCUCAGGAUUAUUGUGGAGAAAAUGUAGACAGUUUAGCACAGCACAUAGCACAUAGCAAGAGCUCAGUAACUGUAAGUUCUUAUUGUUCUGACUCUUCAGGAUUAUUAUUAUUACUGACUUUUGAUCAGUUCUGGUAAAUGGUCUGCACACAAUAAUAUUCACCUUACACAAACACCUAAAGAGUUAACUUGACACAUUAGCAGCUGUUUUACCAUCAGCAACAGUCCACAAAGAGACAGCUAAGUUUUUGUUUGCUUGUUUGUUUCUGCCAAUUGAAUUUUAAGAUCCUCUGCUUCACUAUAAUUAACUCUUUGAACUGGCAAGGUGCUUUCAGUGUAAUCACCAGCUGUCAGUUCUUCCUGCCUCUCCCACCUUACACCAGGAGCUCAGGGAUGUGCGUCCUGGGACUCUAUCUUGGGACUUCAGAGUUUUGAGAGCACACAGAGGAACAGGAUGCACCCAUCAUUUAUCUGGAGGUCACUUAAAUAAUUUCUGCAACGAGGAGAGACAAUGUGAAAGAAGGGGAAUUUUAUUUUUUAGCAAACUAACUUGCUAACGGCUUCCAGCCAGGGCUCAACCCAACCCUUUGUGCCCUGCAGUCAUGGCUGUGUCUUUAAAAGAAAACCGAUUCUCUGGAAUGCUGUGCGUGCACAUGCCUGUCGGACUCGGCAGGCCCCACCUGCCGAGCAGGUAAACCAGAUCCUCCACACCGGCCUCUGCAGCCACAUUCCAGCCAGGCAAGCUCCUACUCUCUAAUUGUUACCUGUCAAACAGGUCAACCAGGCACUUGGGUCCAGUCCAAACACGCGCAUGUUCCCACGAAACCCUAAACCUGCAAACCUUUGACCUUUUCAUAGGACCCGAGGUCCCUUGAUUAUUUUAGCCGGGGCUGAUUUAAAUCCAAAUGAUGACUUCUUCACAGGCACACAAGUUCUUUUUUCUCCCUCACCAGGGUUGGUAACGCUGAUCAUACACUGUUUGGGGUUUCUGGACUAGCACACCGUGGUAAUUCACGAUGACCGGAAGGCAGACGUUGAAGUGGCAAGGGCUCCUGAAAUGAAAUCCGCUGGCCCUAAAUCACUCAUGGAAAUCGCAGGCUGUCUACCCUGACUAAAUGGGGAGUGAAUUCCCUAGGGUGGAUUAAAGGAGAGGUGAUGCACAGGUGAACAUUCCCUUCCUCUCCAUUCUGGUACUGGGCUGGCAGCGGAGACUGUGGCCGAUGGGCUCAGCUCCAAACCUGGAAGACCUCAAGCAAGGGACGUGAACUCUCUGGGCCUCAGUUUCCCAUCUUUGGUAAAGAGAAGGAAGGCCACACAGGUCAUAAGGCCCGUUCCACCACCAUCUCUAGGUUCUUUCCUUUCAUUGAUGCCACUCAAAGUAGGGGAAUCAUGUUACAGGAAUGCUGAUGCCUCUGCACCCUUGUUAUCUGGGCUGGGUGGGGGCUUGGGUACUGCUGGGGGGACCCUAAAUCAGCUGAGGGCCUGUUUUGUUUAGGUUACCAGGUUUGGGGACUUUCCUCAAGUGUGAAAAAGCCCUGGGCUUCCCCUCUUGGGACAUCAGGAUAUCCAUCUUAGCCUCAGUUACCCCUCUGUAUCUAUCUAGUGAGUUCAGUCUUUUAUAAUUGGGAGAGAUGAUUAUUUCCAUUGUUUUUGUAGCACAGACUAUCCAUUUUAUUCUACUGAAUCAAAACUACAGGCUCCCUGAACCUAGACACUUCAUUUUACAGAUAAAGAACCUGAGACCUAGAGAGGGGGCAUGAGCUGCAGGAUGUCUCUCAAUUAGUCAGGCUCCUCACUUAAGGGACCGUGGGAGUUGGUGAACAUUGCGGGCUAGCAAAAUCAUUGCCAGAGAAGUGACAUCUGAAGAUAUUCCCAAGACUGCUCCAAUUAAGGAAUUUCAAAAAUCCAGGCAAAGAACACAAGCUCUCAAGCAGGUUUCUGAGAUGGGCAGUGCUGUCCGGCCAGUUUGCUGGGGGGUUCUCCUCUCUGGCUGGACAGGUUAUUCUACAAAGAGCUGAGGAUCACUGCGUGCAGAGCAGGAACUAGCACUUCCUGCUCCUUCAUCCAGCUCAGACUUGUCCACCAGAGCCAAACUGGCUGGGCUGGCUCCCGAGAGAGAAACUUCCUUGGGGCUCUGGGAUGGUGGAGUCGGGCAGUCUGCAAGCCGGCUUAGCAUCCUUCUCACCAGCCGCAUGCUUUAGGAAGAGCAAAGCACAGAGUGCACGGGCUCAAGGAGGGAGAUUUCAAUGAGAAGCCCACCUGGCUUGUCUUCUGGGGUGCCGUUAAUUCAAGAGAGCUGCUGUAUGCUGGGGGUGCCAAGACCCCCCCACAGAGGGGCUAUAUGUACUGAAGGGGCCAUCAGAGGUCAAACCGGAUGAAUGGGCACUUCGUCUCCUUGUAAAGACCUCUCGGGGAGCAUGUAAACCACUAUUUAAUUGCUUUAAAAUAAAUAUUAAACAGUAUUCACACA
rnacentral:lncRNA from 1 species